rnacentral:pre_miRNA from 1 species
AGAAGAAUUGCUAGGUCACGUGGUAAAUUUAUUCCUAGUUUUUAAGAAACUGUCAGAAUAUUUUCUAAGGUAACUGUAUCAUUUAGCUUUCUCACCAGCAAU